AGUUUUUGAAACUUAAAUCGAAUGACUUUCAAACAUGGAAUAUUCAAACUGAAUAAUUUAAUUUAUCAAUCAUUUAUGUUCUUGCAUCUUCUUUUUAACUAAAUCAUAUAAUAAGCAUAUUAGAUAUUACAGUUGUUUUCUCUUUACUGACAGGGGAUAGCCGGAUAGUCCAGGGAGUUGUUGAGUUGGGUUGUUGAGAAUGUGUCUGUUUUCAAAUGCCACUCUGUCCAACUUGCUUUCCACCCACUGGGGCACUGACUUCACAUGGAUUUUUUAAAUAUCGUCCCGACAUAAUUACAUCAGUGUUCUAAAUCCAAAAUUAUAUUAGAAUCUAUUUGGGAAAAAAUCAAUGAAAAUAAAUCAGUCUAACUAUGAUAACCAAUGAACCCGGCCGGGUUCAAUACUCGUUAAUAUGAAAUAUUUAUGAAUAUAUCUAUACAAUUAAUCAAUUAUGCAUUUAAUUGAUCGAAUUUGAUAAUAAUCCUAGCUUAUUCAGAUACCCAAAACAUUCCUCUUCCUUCUGCAGUGAGCCAGUGACCUAGUGCUAGUGGGGAUCUUCGAAGAAAAGCAAUAAUUAAGAAAAGAAAGAAAGAAAAAAAGUCG
rnacentral:lncRNA from 1 species